UUCUUCAUCCAAGAGCACACCUCCUCCCAGAUGAUCUGAGAAUAGCGUGGGAAUAUGUUUCAUUGCCAGUAAACAGACCAGUCUUCUGGAUCUCUUCUUACAUCGUGGAGUCUUACAACCUGGCCACCCCGGCUUCUUCUACCAUCAGGAGGCUCUCAUUCCUUGUCUUGAAAUGUGCCUGCUCCUUCUGGAGGCCCAAUUACAGGGAGCUGCCGGAGUCUUCUCCAGAUACUACCCAUCCAGAAGAGGACUCCGAGGGAUGAUGGAACUCAAGAUGGAAAAAGCUUUGGUCUCUCAAUCAGCGUGUGGAAGCUUAUCUACUGACU